CGGGAUAUAAUUCAUUAGUGAAUAUCAUUAUUUACAUUAAUGAUUUAAUUGUGCAAUUCAAUUUAUCUUGU
rnacentral:tRNA from 1 species